GACGAACGCUGGCGGCGUGCUUAACACAUGCAAGUCGAACGGAAAGGCCCUGCUUUUGUGGGGUGCUCGAGUGGCGAACGGGUGAGUAACACGUGAGUAACCUGCCCUUGACUUUGGGAUAACUUCAGGAAACUGGGGCUAAUACCGGAUAGGAGCUCCUGCUGCAUGGUGGGGGUUGGAAAGUUUCGGCGGUUGGGGAUGGACUCGCGGCUUAUCAGCUUGUUGGUGGGGUAGUGGCUUACCAAGGCUUUGACGGGUAGCCGGCCUGAGAGGGUGACCGGCCACAUUGGGACUGAGAUACGGCCCAGACUCCUACGGGAGGCAGCAGUGGGGAAUAUUGCACCAUGGGCGGAAGCCUGAUGCAGCAACGCCGCGUGCGGGAUGAAGGCCUUCGGGUUUUAAACCGCUUUCGCCUGUGACGAAGCGUGAGUGACGGUAAUGGGUAAAGAAGCACCGGCUAACUACGUG
rnacentral:rRNA from 1 species